GACGAACGCUGGCGGCGUGCUUAACACAUGCAAGUCGAACGGAAAGGCCCUGCUUUUGUGGGUUGCUCGAUUGGCGAACGGGUGUGUAACACGUGAGUAACCUGCCCUUGACUUUGGUAUAACUUCAGGAAACUUGGGCUAAUACCGGAUAGGAUCUCCUGCUGCAUGGUGGGGGUUGGAAAGUUUCGUCGGUUGGGGAUGGACUCGCGGCUUAUCAGCUUGUUGGUGGGGUAGUGGCUUACCAAGGGUUUGACGGGUAGCCGGCAUGAGAGGGUGAACGGGCACAUUGGGACUGAGAUACGGACCAGACGACUACGGGAGGCAGCAGUGGGGAAUAUUGCACAAUGGGCGGAAGCCUGAUGCAGCAACGCCGCGAGCGGGAUGAAGGCCUUCGGGUUGUAAAACGAUUUAGCAUGUGACGAAGCGUGAGUGACGGUAAUGGGUAAAGAAGCACCGGCUAACUACGUG
rnacentral:rRNA from 1 species